CAAUAGCGUAUAUUUAAGUUGUUGCAGUUAAAAAGCUCGUAGUUGGAUUUCGGUUAAGAGCGACCGGUCCGCCGUUUGGUGUGCACUGGUUGGUUUUAACUUCCUGUAGAGGACGUGCUCUGGGUUUAACGACCUGGACUCGGAGUCUACGUGGUUACUUUGAAAAAAUUAGAGUGUUCAAAGCGGGCUUACGCUUGAAUAUUUCAGCAUGGAAUAACACUAUAGGACUCCUGUCCUAUUUCGUUGGUCUCGGGACGGGAGUAAUGAUUAAGAGGAACAGUUGGGGGCAUUCGUAUUUCUUUGUCAGAGGUGAAAUUCUUGGAUUUAUGAAAGACGAACUUCUGCGAAAGCAUUUGCCAAGGAUGUUUUCAUUAA
rnacentral:rRNA from 1 species